rnacentral:rRNA from 1 species
GAUGAACGCUGGCGGCGUGCCUAAUACAUGCAAGUCGAGCGAAUGGAUUAAGAGCUUGCUCUUAUGAAGUUAGCGGCGGACGGGUGAGUAACACGUGGGUAACCUGCCCAUAAGACUGGGAUAACUCCGGGAAACCGGGGCUAGUACCGGAUAACAUUUUGAACAGCAUGGUUCGAAAUUGAAAGACGGCUUCGGCUGUCACUUAUGGAUGGACCCGCGUCGCAUUAACUAGUUGGUGAGGUAACGGCUCACCAAGGCAAAGAUGCGUAGCCGACCUGCGAGGGUGAUCGGCCACACUGGGACUGAGACACGGCCCAGACUCCUACGGGAGGCAGCAGUAGGGAAUCUUCCGCAAUGGACGAAAGUCUGACGGAGCAACGCCGCGUGAGUGAUGAAGGCUUUCGGGUCGUAAAACUCUGUUGUUAGGGAAGAACAAGUGCUAGUUGAAUAAGCUGACACCUUGACGGUACCUAACCAGAAAGCCACGGCUAACUACGUGCCAGCCGCCGCAGUAA